CCUACGGGGGGCUGCAGUAGGGAAUAUUGCUCAAUGGGGGAAACCCUGAAGCAGCAACGCCGCGUGGAGGAUGAAGGUUUUCGGAUUGUAAACUCCUUUUGUUAGAGAAGAUAAUGACGGUAUCUAACGAAUAAGCACCGGCUAACUCCGUGCCAGCAGCCGCGGUAAUACGGAGGGUGCAGGCGUUAAUCGGAAUCACUGGGCGUAAAGGGAGCGUAGGCGGGAUAGCAAGUCAGAUGUGAAAUCCUAUGGCUUAACCAUAGAACUGCAUUUGACACUGUUAUGCUAGAGUAUGGGAGAGGUAGGUGGAAUUCGUGGUGUAGGGGUAAAAUGCGUAGAGAUCAAGAGGAAUACUGAUUGCGAAGGCGACCUGCUAGAACAUAACUGACGCUGAUGCGCGAAAGCGUGGGGAGCAAACAGGAUUAGAUACCCGAGUAGUC
rnacentral:rRNA from 1 species